GGGACAAUUAUUAUUGCAAACACAAGGCAAGUGAGAAACUACUAUGCACCAAACAUAUCAAGCCAAACAUUAUUAGCAUAAACCCUAUCAAGUCAUAUAAGAAUACGAGCACUGUCUCGAUAGCUAUUACACCAAGUAAACUUUAGAUCGAUAAAUCCCAAAUCUGUUAAACCCGAAUUAGCAAUAAAGUUAUUGAAGUUUCGAAGAAUUCAUGGUGAAACCCUACCACAAAAUUUGUCAAAAGCUGAAACAAUACAAUUAAAAUCACACAUAAGAGCCCAAAGAAACUCAUGCAGAUCAAGUGAUUCUAAGUCAUUCCAUAAUAAAUUCCUAUUGUACAAAGAAAUACCCGCAUAAAUCCUAAUAAAAAUUCAUGAGUCAUUUCUCUCAUCUUACAUAAUGGCAGUAUGAGAAGAGAGCACCUGGAUAUGAAUAAGUUCCAAAGCAAAGCAAUCCCUCCCGAUGCACCCUCCACAGAUAUCGCCCAGGAGCACCAUCCACGGCCUAGCCUACAUGCCAUCCUACGUGCAGUAUUUGCAUCGGAGUGCAUGUCUUGCAAAAAAACCAACUUAAAGCCCCUACAAUUCCAACUUAAAACACUCACAGUAAAAGAAAAUGAAAGUCAACAAAACACAAUCAUUUACGUCCACAGCCCCUUUGGGACUUGACUCUCUCUACAAAUGCUUUCAUACUAUAUUUUGUCAUUGCUCAACUCCCUAAUCUGCUCUGGAGCAGAUGGUACCCAAUGGAUUUAUCAUCCACUUCAAUCUUCGGGGAGAAGGUAAAAGGGAAAAGGCGAGCAAAGAUAGCCAAAAUGGGCUAACCGAUGCUGCAAGAAACUCAAAACUGGUUGAUCUGUCCGUAGCAUCCAUGUGGGACUCUACGUGACCCUGCCCCUGGGACUCCAGGUGGGAGCAGGAGGGAUUUCCUUCACAUCUGACCUUUCCUCCACCGCCAUGUCUCACCCGAUAGGGACUAAGAACAUUCGCUCAGACGAUGUUCGACAUGCCCGCACCAAAAGCACACACUAGGAAGGUUCUCGUAUGAGCAAGGCUGAAAGAAGCUGGUUUGCUAGUCCCCAAUCCUCACGCCCUACAACAGAGGGAUGGUGAGAUCAACCUAACACAUACCCUCACAGACCUGUUCUGCUCCAUCUUCAGAGAGCAUUCGUCAACCUUUAAUGGACGACCCAGCGCAUUCAUGAUGCCCAAAACCCCUUGUCUACUCCAAUACUCCACGGGCAGUCCAUGGAGUUGGAUCCAAAUAGGGGAGGUUUUCAACGUUUCAAAUACGAGGUUAAAAUUCAGCCACCAAGAAAAGAUAUGCAAGGAAAGAUCACGGAUCAGAAGUAAGCACUGAAAUCAUAUCCACUUCAGAUUGAAAACGAAACAGAAAGAAGUCAUUG
rnacentral:lncRNA from 1 species